rnacentral:rRNA from 1 species
GGUUAAGCGACUAAGCGUACACGGUGGAUGCCCUGGCAGUCAGAGGCGAUGAAGGGCGUGCUAAUCUGCGAUAAGCGCCGGUAAGGUGAUAUGAACCGUUAUAACCGGCGAUACCCGAAUGGGGAAACCCAGUGUGAYUCGUCACACUAUCAUUAACUGAAUCCAUAGGUUAAUGAGGCGAACCGGGGGAACUGAAACAUCUAAGUACCCCGAGGAAAAGAAAUCAACCGAGAUUCCCCCAGUAGCGGCGAGCGAACGGGGAGGAGCCCAGAGCCUGAAUCAGCAUGUGUGUUAGUGGAAGCGUCUGGAAAGGCGCGCGAUACAGGGUGACAGCCCCGUACACAAAAGCGCAUGUGCUGUGAGCUCGAUGAGUAGGGCGGGACACGUGGUAUCCUGUCUGAAUAUGGGGGGACCAUCCUCCAAGGCUAAAUACUCCUGACUGACCGAUAGUGAACCAGUACCGUGAGGGAAAGGCGAAAAGAACCCCGGCGAGGGGAGUGAAAAAGAACCUGAAACCGUGUACGUACAAGCAGUGGGAGCCCCACCAC